rnacentral:lncRNA from 1 species
UUGUAUCAAAAGAAUAAAGAGGAGAUUUUUUUUACAUAUUCCAACUUUCAGAAGACAAAAACUAAAAACAAAAUUGUUCUAGAACAAAGGAUUUACAUUAGUAUAACCAUAAUUGACAACAUGGGUUUUCCUAUGGUUGGAAUAGAAAAUUUGACAAUCAUCAUAUAGAAUCUACCGAAUGCAAGUUUGGCAACUAGAACUACAAGUAAACUAUGUGCCCGAUCAGUUUUCUCGUCGACGAAGAUUCGAACUUGAUGCCUCUUUCAACAUUGAAAAACAAAAUAUCACUAGAACACUUGAUGAGCCUGAUCAUGUUAAACUCAAGUUUUAUUGAUGAGAGUAUGGGCUGGUGAUGAUGAGCUCUCGGCAAGCAGCGGGGCUGCUUGGCCUCCAAGAAUAAAUGGAUUCGAACAUGCACCAGUCUGCUCAAACUAUAGAGGAACUGAAUGCACCCUGCAGAUCAAGUGUCAAUAAUCAAUCAAUUAAACAAACAGUUAGUGAAUAUCACUUCGAUCUAGAAAAUUUAAGGACCUUGAAUAGUUUCACUUACAAGCUACAACAACAAAACAAAUCAACAUAAGAGUGGAUCAACCAACGAAUGCACCAUUCUAGUUGAGUCCGAUUACCACCAAUGUAAGAGUCAAUUUUGUUACAAUUAGCACCAGUAAGGACAUCAGUUUAAUCUCGAACAAAGCUCCGCUGCCAGUUUCGGCAUUAUUGUUCUCCCCAACCUUGAAACCCAUGAUUGUGCUGAUUCUUUAUCGGGACCAGGCCAAAAAACACAAACAGAGAAAGAAAAAAAAAGGAUUAAACUUGUGUUUGAGAGAGAAAACAUGAGUAUGGUAUAUAAAAAUGUUGUAGGCAAGGUAGGUAGCAUUGUUUCUUGUUACUUUUUUCUACCUGAUUUGGCUUCCCGUAUAUUUUGGGUCCCUACGAUUGUGAAGUUACCCAUUUUGAUGCAAAAUGGAGGCAGGGUACUUAUGCUUCUUGUUUGGAGAGAUAGUUUAAUUAAAUGUGUCAUGUAUCAAAAAAGGUUUACUUUUAAAAAACAUAAACAAAGUUCAUUGAGUGAGUGACGCCACUAAAACUACGCAUACAAUGCAAAAGAGAACCUCUUGUUUGUUUGGCAGGUAAUUCCUGUUUCAAUCAACAGAGAGAUAAUGUGACUUAGUAAACAUUGGGUAGAUCAUGCUUAUAGGAGUGGUAUUGUUCAUUGCUCGUUGGCCAUCUUGCUUUAUUCCCUGAUUUUCAAAAAUAUUAUUGUGGGACAGAAACAUCAGGUUAAUUAUUGUGUGUGUCAUUAUUAUGUUAAUUUUGAUAAAAUUUAAUGUAUAUAUGAGUUAGACAAAACAACGACGAUAAUUGAUAACACUACGUAAUACUCUAACUAUGAACAUUAAAACAUUUCCCUAAUAUCACGCCGUUCUUCACGUUUUGCAUCCACACACAAGCAAUCGUGAAAGACGACAACAAUUGAUUUUGAACGUAAAUGAUGAAACUGAUGACUCAAGGAUAAACUGCAGAAUAAUGGAUCACACAUAGGCAAUCUGUAUAGUACCACGUGUCGAAAAAGUCAGCUGAAGGAUGCAGCCUACCAACAGGCUACAGGGACAUGUAAUCACGUUACUGUCCGAAGGGAAGCAGUGGGACCAACUCAGUUUCCUCAUCGAGCAAAAUAACUGAAGUUAACAAGUGUCACGCGUCCGUUAGAUAAUGACUUAUUUUAUUUUAUUUUUGUUAAUUAAUGAAUAAUACAGUUGCUCCGCAACUCACUCUCCUCUUGUUGAGUGAUUUGAGGAAGCAGUCUCUUCUCUUCUCACUUGAUCAGCCUCUCAAUUCUGGUCAACUUUUCCCCAAGGACGAUCUUAUCCUUCUUCACCAGAGCUUCAAGGGCUUUCAAUGGCCACCCUGUAGCCUCCAAGCUUCUGGUGCUCUGUACUAUCAGGUUCUCAAUUUUCUUGCUUACCAUGAUAAUUUCUUUUCGAUCGGUUUGGCAUGAGGUGAAGCCUCACAUGACCUAAAUUUUUUAAUAUAUAUACGGAGUGUACACAUAUAUUAUAUUAAAAAAGAAGAAGAUUAUUAAUCAAUAAUCAUCCCGAGCACACACAUAUAUUAUAAAUACAUAUACACAUAUAUAUUAUAUUAUAUAUAUAAAAUAGAGGAUGAAAAGUAUAAUGAGCACACAUAUAACAAUGCACGUAGACGGCACAUACAUUCAUUAUAUAAAAAAUAAAAAUCAGAAAACAAGGCAGAGAGAUGAUAGUGCAAGGAAGAUGUGUGAGGUAGUUAAAACCUUACCCAAAAUUUGGGUUUGGGAGUAAUAAUAAAAAAAAAUUAAAAAUAAAAUUCUCUUGAGGAGCGCCUAGGCGGCGCCUUCCGCCCACUCCCUGAAAACAGAGGCGGCAUCCCUCAAGCCCAGCCUCACAGGGCGCCUAGGCGCGCCCUGAGGCGAGCCUUUUAAAACAUUGGAGAAAAUGCAUGACCAGAAAAUGAGUUAGUGUUAAGCGAUUACGGGAGUUACCAUUGUCAUAUCUCAAAUUAUUAUUAUAUUGAAUAUACAGUUUCUACAGUUAGGUUGAAAUAUUUUCUAUCAUAGCAUAUAAAGACACAUUCUUUUUUGGUUUUGGUUAUAUCUCAAUGAAGUAUCAUUUUCUGAAGGCAAGUCCGGUUUAUUGAAUUUUUAGGUGUCAAUGAUGUUACAAUCCGACGUGUUUGAGGCGUAGAGGAAGUGAGAACCUGCUUUUGUGCAGGGAGAACCUACUCGUGGAAACUAUGAUCCCUUGACAGAUUCGAUGUACCUGAAUCAUCGUAGUCGUAGUUUUAGGUUGUGUGUUUUUGUUGUGUCUUGUGUUAAAAUGUGUUUUUGAGUUUCAACUAUACUCUUAUACUUUUUCAAUCAGGUGUAGGGUCUGAAAUAACUCAUAAAUUGAAGUGUUGUCUAUCAGCUUCAUCUCUUGUUACUGGUGGAGACCGGAGUCAAACAACAACACUGCACCUAAUCACACUAAUCUUGUUUCAUUUACGGUUUUGUGAUUCAUGUUAAAUUUCAUUUAAUUUGGAUUGAUGCUGCUAAUCUUUUUGUUGUCGAAGGAUUUAAACAAGAUGAUGAUUGGUGGAGAAAAAUGGCAUGGGGAAAUCAUUACCUUAGAUUAAUCAUGUCUGGAUGGGUACAGUUUGUAGGAAUUCAGACCAAAAACAGAGACAUGGAAAUGAAUAAACUUUUUGGUAAUGGGAGUCUUAAAAGUUUCAACAUAUCUUUGUUUUUGUGAUUACUUUUGUUAGUUAGACUUGUAUGGAUUGGAAAAGAUUAUGAGAAUUAACAACAUUUAAGCUCAAAACCUCUUGAACCGAAGGAAUCAUGAUCGUAGGUAACCUUAUUGAAAUAACACAUGAACCAUAAUUUAUAGUAAGCAUGAAUGCUUAGUUUGGUACAUUAGCUUGCAGUUGAAGCAAUCUAACUUGAAUGUCCUAAUCCUAACUCAUACCUCCAUGUCUUCUCGGGUUUAGGAUAUGUGAUGCCUCAAGGGUUUACACAUUGUAGACUGUAGAGCAUUGACGAAUUUGAACAGAACCGUUAUACUACCAGAAUCUUUGACAGAGGAAGAACAAUGUUCAAGCCCUUUCCAUACAUUGAAUUUUCUAUAAGUCGUUGUCGGUCCAUAUGCCAGCUAAUGAACCGUAAGAAUUGACUUAGUUGACUUACUGAUCACCAUGAAAAGGGCAUGUAGGUUAAGUUCCAGUAACAUGCAUACGGUAAAUCUUUGCCUGCCUGCUGAAUGCUUUGUGCAGCCAUGGAUACCACACCAAACUCAGAGUUUGUGUUCUCCAUUAUUUUAUUAUGUGCAUUUCUCGAGUUCCAUGUUUCCCUAGCAGCUGAUACCAUCAGCGAAAACCAAUCUCUCUCGGGUGAUCAAAUUAUUGUCUCCGCAGGUGGGAUUUUUGAGCUCAGUUUCUUCAAACCAGGUAACUCUUCAAACUUCUACAUAGGCAUGUAGUACACCAAACAAGUAGUAUCCGAGAGGACCAUUGUUUGGGUGGCAAACAGGGAAAAACCAGUUUCCGAUAAAUUUUCUUCAGUUUUAAUGAUUUCAGAUGGUAAUUUAGUCCUGUUCAACGAGUCCAAAUCCCCUGUUUGGUCAAUUUAACCUCCUCCUCCGCCACUGCACUUCUUUUGGAUACCGGAAACUUCUCGGUGUCCAGUAAUAGUUUAUCAGAGCCGUUAUGGAAAUCCUUUGAUAAUCCAAUGCAUACUUGGCUGCCAGGAGCUAGAAUUGGGUUUAACACUGUUAUCCAACAAACCCAAAUAUUUACUUCACGGAAGAGUUCAAAGGAUCCUGCACAGGGUCUUUUCUCGCUUGAGUUGGACCGAACGGAAGCAAUGCGUAUCUUCCCAUACUGUGGAUCCUACAGUAUUGGAUAUGCAUUGCUUCCGUGACGCAUACUUCACCUACCCUCUUUAUGAUCCAAAGAUAUUUUCUUGAUUCGUGACGCAUACUUCGGGGAAAAUUCAACAGUUGUCAUUGUGGGACAUACCGUGGAAUUUGGUUUGGUCCCAACGGAGAAAACAAUGCGAAGCUUAUGAUUUGUGCGGUGAGCACCCUCGCCUAUAAUUGCUUGAACGGUUUUGAGCCGAAGGCGAAGAGAGACUGGGAUUUAAAGGACUACCCUGGUGGGUGUUCAAGAAAAAAAAGAUCUGCAGCUGAGGCAAUCUAACUCGAACAUUUCCUAAUCCUAUAGCUCCAUCUCUUCUUGUGUUCGAUACGUGAAUCCUCAAGGGUUUACACAUUGUAGAGCAUUGAUGAAGUUGAAUAGAACCGUAAUACAUUGAAUUUUCUACAAAGACGGUAAGAUCCCACAUUGCCCAGGGAAAUGAUCCUUAUAUGUAUAUUCUCAUCCCUACCUAGCAUGAGGUCUUUUGGGAGCUCACUGGCUUCAGGUUCCAUUGGAACUUCGAAGUUAAGCGAGUAGCGCGCGAGAUCAAUCCCAUGAUGGGCGACUGGGAAGUUCUCGUGUGAGUUCACAGAAACAAAACCAUGAGGACGUGGUAGGGAUCCAAAACGGACAAUAUCGUAUUACGGUGGUGGAGCGGGCCCGAAAUGUGAUGGACCCCCGGGCCGGGAUGUGACAAAGACUUUGUUCAUAUGCCAGCUAAUGACAGAAUGUGAAGGGUUGAAUAGUUGAUUUAGUUGACUUGCAAUGACCACCAUGAAAAGGGCAUAUAGGUUGAGUACAGUAACAUGCACACGGUAAAUCUUUGCCCACCUGCUGAAUUCUUUGUGCAGCCAUGGAUACCAAACCAAACUCAGAGUUCGUGUUCUCCAUUAUUUUAUUAUGUGUAUUUCUCAAGUCCAAUGUUUACCUAGCAGCUGACACUAUCGGUGAAAACCAAUCUCUAUCUGGCCAUCAAACCAUUGUGUCUGCAGGUGGGAUUUUUGAGUUAGGUUUCUUCAAACCUGGUCAGCUUUCAAACUACUAUAUAGGCAUAUGGUACUCCAAGCAAGUAGUAUCUGAGAUGACCGUUGUUUGGGUAGCAAAUAGGGAAAUACCAGUAUCUGAUAGAUUUUCUUCGGUCUUGAGCAUCUUAGAUGGUAAUUUAGUUCUCUUGAACCAGUCCAAAACCCUGGUUUGGUCAACAAAUUUAAACUCCACCACCACUUCUGGUUCUUUACAAGCAGUUCUUUUGGAUAGUGGAAACUUUGUCUUGAGAGCGGGGUCUAGUAACAAUACAUCAGAGCCUUUAUGGCAAAGCUUUGAUCAUCCAACCCAUACUUGGCUACCAAGAGGUAGACUUGGAUUCAACAAAAUUACAAAUCAUACCCAAACUCUCACUUCAUGGAAGAAUUCGGAAAAUCCUGCACCAGGUCUUUACUCUCUUGAGCUAGCCCCGGACGAAAGCAGUUCAUAUAUCUUAUUGUGGAAUAGGUCUAAACAGUAUUGGAUCAGUGCACCAUGGAAUGAAAGUUCACAUAUUUUCAAGGUGGCUCCUGAAAAUCAAAUGUUCAAUUAUAGUUAUGUUACGAAUGAGAACGAAAGGUAUUUCACCUAUUCUCUUUACGAUCUAAAAACUGUAUCUCGAUGCUCCUUGUCUGUCUCGGGCCAGAUUCAGCAACUAACAUGGUUGGAGAAGCAGUGGACUUUGCUUUGGUCUCUACCAUUACAACAGUGUGAUGUUUAUGCUUUUUGUGGGGCUUUCUCUAGUUGCAAUCCCACAUCCUUGGACAACUGCAAAUGUUUGAAGGGCUUUGAGCCAAACCGGCAGAGUGAUUGGGACUUGCAGAUUUAUUCUGGUGGGUGUUCAAGAAGAACCAGUAUGCAGUGUGGGAAUGCUGCUAGUGCGAAUGGGACGGGUGAUGGGUUAUUGGGAGACGAGUUUCUAGAAAUACAUAGUAUUUCAUUGCCUGAAAAUAACCAAUAUGGAUACGCUCUUGGUAUCGAAAGUUGUAGAUCAGCCUGUUUAAAUGAAUGCCAUUGCACUGCUUAUGCUUAUGAAAGCAACAGUUAUUGUUCAAUAUGGCAUGGAGAUGUUUUUCUGCCAGAGCUUGUAGCAAGUGACGGUGGUGGAAGAACUUUAUACAUCAGAGCUGCAGCUUCUGACAUUAAGAAAAAACGUAAUAAGAGAGUGAUUAUUCAUGUCUUACUUGGAGCCGUUAAUCUUAAUGUUGUCCCAGUGAUUUUUUUCUUUUCUUUGCAGGUUUAAUUAAGCCGUCCCUUGUGAUUGCAAUUGUCACAACAGUCACAGGUUUGCUUCUUGUCAUUUUUGGCUAUUUCUUAUGGAAGAAGACAGUGGGAAAGAAAAGAGAGCAAAGGAAUAGAUAUGGUGAGACUAAAAGUAAAUUUGCUGCUGGAGGUGAAAACAACGAUGCAGAACUGCCGAUCUUUGGUUUAAGGGCUAUAAUAGCUGCUACAAACAACUUCGCUGAAGCUAAUAAACUCGGAGAGGGAGGAUUUGGCCCUGUCUACAAGGUGACACUUCCACUGUGUACUCUAAAUACUAAAACAUUUUUCUCCUCAUGCACACUUCUUGUGUAUUUAUGACCUUUGGAUUGAAUAAUUCCAAUGAGAUGAAUCACGGGGCAAAGUACACAUGGGUGUGCAGAAGGACAAAAAAGAGUGUUCGAAAAUAAUUUCUCCUUUCAGAAACAUGACCGUUCCUUUUUACUUCUCUUACAAUUUCUUCUCUUGUGCGAUUUUCUUCCUCUAUGCAGGGAAUUUUGGCUGAAAAUCAAGAAGUAGCCAUAAAAAGGUUAUCAAAAAAGUCAGGUCAAGGACAACAGGAGUUCAUGAAUGAGUUAAAACUUAUUGCCAAGCUCCAACAUACCAAUCUCGUUAGGCUCUUGGGUUGCUGUCUUGAAGAGGAGGAAAUGAUAUUGAUCUACGAGUACAUGCCCAAUCGGAGCUUGGACAAACUUUUGUUUGGUAUAUAUAUGCUAAUGACUUAUGAUUUUUUCUGCAAAUAUAUUGCUUUCCUUGUGUUUAAAUGCCGUGUACUGCAAGAUCAAAUGCACUGUGUCCAACAUUUUAUCUAAAAUGAAAAGAAAAACAUUUGCUCAUUUUUCUUCAUGGUUUGUCCAAUCAGAUGCAUCUGAAAAAAGAGAAUUAGAUUGGGGAAGACGUUUUCGAAUUAUAGAAGGCAUUGCUCAAGGAGUACUUUAUAUCCACAAGUACUCUAGAUUGAAAAUCAUCCACAGGGACCUAAAAGCAAGUAACAUACUGUUGGAUAGAGCCUUGAAUCCCAAAAUUUCAGACUUUGGAAUGGCAAGGAUUUUCGGGAUAAACCAGACUGAAGCAAAUACCAAUAGGGUUGUUGGCACAUAGUAAGUCUACAUAUACCUGGCACAUGUUUUCAUUCAAGUAAUGUUCUAUUGCUUACUUCUAUACAUACUGUCAAUUCAUGUGCAGCGGUUACAUGUCACCUGAAUAUGCAAGAUAUGGUCAUUUCUCUGAGAAAUUAGAUGUAUUCAGCUUCGGAGUGUUAUUGUUGGAGAUUGUAAGCGGAAAGAAAAAUGCUGCUUUUUAUCGCUUUGAACAUUCACCAACUCUUGCUGGAUGGGUAAGUACUUAAAAAUUAUUCUUGCUCACAAUCAUUCUGUCUUUAAGCCUUCCAAAUUCGCAAAUGACCGUAAAUUCAACAUUUUAAUUAGGCAUGGGAGUUGUGGAAAGAAGGAAGAGGAAUGGAGGUGAUCGAUGAAUCGGUAAGGGAAACGUGCCACCUCGAUGAAGCUUUGAAGUGUAUCCAUGUAGGGUUUUUGUGUGUUCAAGAAGCUCCAGCUGAUCGACCAACAAUGUCUUCGGUAAUUCAUAUGUUGCAGGGCAAUGAAUCUACGUCUCUUCCACCUUCCAAAGAACCUACCUUUUCAACACACAGACAUUCCAAUCCUGUUCGCUCUUCUGAAAUGCCUACCAUUUUUUCUCACAACUCAGUCACCAUGAGUUUGCCAGAAGGUCGGUAGGGGUUGAAAGAACAGUGGCUAGCAAGCAGUUGAGAAAAUAGUGUAUUAAAUUAGAAAAAAAGACAUUGCGACAAAUAUGUUUAUACGAACACUUCAAGGGUUCAAUUGGAGAAAUAAAAGUCCCCUCAGCUGUGAGGUUGAGUCUCUUAGAAAGCAUACACCGAAAGAGAAAUGAAUUACUGGUGUUUGUGUUUAAUGGUUUAUGCCCAUCUAGACUAAACCUAUAAUAGCACCAGAUUAAACUUAUGUUAAAGUGUUUUUCAGCUGCAAAUAUGGGCAUAGCCAUAUUUCAAGUUAUGUUCCCACCCCACCCCUUGGUGCAAACCAAUUUAUAUUAAUAUAAAAUAGAAUGUUGUUUGUAUGAAAAGAAAAAAGAGGAGAUUUUUUUACAUUUUUCAACUUUCAAAAGACAAAAAAUAAGAACAAAAUUAGUAUAGAACAAAGGAUUUUACAUUAGUAUAUCCAUAAUUGAAGGAUUUAAGCCCUUUCCAUACAUUGAUUUUUUCUACAAAGACUUGGUCCAUAUGGCAGCUAAUAAACAAUCUGUGAAGGUUGAAUAGUUGACUUAGUUGACUUGCAAGCAGGCGAGAAUAUCUAUCUAUAUAUGGUUAAGCGAGAGUCUCACGGAUGGCGACAAAAUUUUGGAGUCACCCCAUUCAAAACCUGUCCAAAAUAAUAUAUCAAAUCAUGCAAUGAUAAUUUGGUAAUUUAGUCAUAAUAAAAUAUAAAGUAAUGGGUUGUUGGACAAAAAAAUAAGAUUAAAAAAAUGUAAGGAGUUCCAUCCCUCUCCCCCCCCCCCGGCGCGUCUCAUCUCUCAUCCCUCAUUAGAGGUGGGCACUUAGAACCAAAAACCAAACUAAAACACGAACCAAAUCGAACCGCACCGAACGGUUUGGGUUUGCGGUUUUUGAACGGUUUCGGUUUUGAAACCGAACCGCAACAUAGAAAACAGUUUGGUUUCGGUUUUGACUUUUGAAAACUGCACCGAAACCGAACCGCACCACAAAUAUUAAUAAACAUUUAAUUAAAUGUCCAUAUUAAAUUUCAUGUUUUAAUUGGUUGUUUAUUAAAAUCCAUGCACUUAGUACGGACUCAACCACACUAGAAUAUCAUUAUUCAUCACUUUCUUUCGUUCAUUAACUUGAAGGACCUUUGUUAUUUUAUACCAUCACACACACACACACACACACACACACAUAUAUGUACAAGGGUGGACUAAUCUUGUUAUCAAGAGUCGAACAAUGAUCUAAUGAAGUCCACUCAUUUGAAGCAUGAUAUCACAUAUUCUAGUAUAAAAGUUUCGCUCACGUUUAAUGAAUUCAAAGUUAUUCAAUUUGUAUUAUGUUAUACCUUGUACGGGACAUCCUUUUGUUGCACAAACAUGUUUUAACAUCACAACUGCAUGCAACAUGCUAAUUGUUUAUAUAACAAAUGUCUUUUUCCUAUUGCUACUGGGAAAUGCUUAUUAAUAUGUUAAAUUGCAAAUUGUACAUUUUUUUCUUAAAAACCAAACCAAAACAGUUUGAAACCGCACCGCACCGCACCGAACUAAACGAUUUGGUUUCAUUUCGAUUUUGGCUUCAAAACCGCACCGAACCAAACCACAAAAAAUUUCGAUUUCGGUUUCGGUUUCACUCAAAACCACACCGAACUAAACCGUGUCCACCCAUAUCCCUCACGUCUCUCUCUCUCCUCAUUUUCAUUGUUUUCCUCUUGCCCUUCUUUCUCUCUAUAAAAAAAAGUUUUCGCAUGUUGAUAAUAAUGUGAUUAAAUUAAUUGUCAAAUGAUUAAUUUUUUUUUUUAACAAACAACAUUAUCUAUACUAAGGAGGAGGGGGUAAACUUAACCUCACAAUGGGCUAGCAAUAAUGUGAUUCAAUUAGUUGUUCAUUCAAUAUUAUUUUCUCUAUUUUUAAACACGUUCAAAACAUCUUAAGAGGCGUGUAAUGCCGGUUAUAAAAAAGAUUUUUCGCAUGCGGAUAAUAAUGUGAUUAAAUUAGUUGUCAAAUAAUUUUGUUUUUAACAAACGAUAUUAUGUAAGAGAGAGGGGGUGGGCUUUAGCUUCACAAUAGACUAGCAAUAAUGUGAUUUAAUCAAUUGUUCAUUAAAUAUUAUUUUCUCUAUUCUUAUUGUAAAUUCUAUAGAGACCGAUUUUAUUAUGUGAAUUCAACUACUUUAAUUGAUUUAUGAGAGAUUUCUUCUAGCAUGAUCUAAGAUUAUUUAUUACGUCAAAUAUUUGACUUUCAUUUUGUCAAUUUAUGCAUAUAAAUGCAUUUAAAACGUGUAAGUUGUGCGUACCACGUCGUGAUUUAAAAAAUAUCUUCUACACACGCUCACGCGCGUUCAUGAAGGCUAGUAAUGUAUUAAAUUAGAAUAGAACUACCAUGAUAACUAUAAGUUUUAUACAAGCAUUUAAAGGGUUAAAUUGGAAUGCACCCCGCAGAAACUUCAAAGAAAUAAAGUUUAUCUAGAAAGAAAAUGAUGCGUAUACCAAACGGAGUAAAAAUAUGAUGACGGUGUUCAAAUAGUUAAUACACUAGAAAAUGUACCCGCGUGUUGCUACGGGAUUUGAAGCAUUGUUGAAGAUGUGGAAAGUGCUAAAACAUAUAUGCUAAGAAGUGGGGUUUAUAUACGUGUUACAUCCAUAUGUUAAUCAAGUGUUAUUUACAUUCGUAUAUUACAUUACAAAAAUUGGUGAUGCUCAAGAAAAACAAAUUGGGGAUGCUCAAGGACUUUUUCGUAACCUAUGGCUCUAUCUCGUCCUAAAUUGCAUAUGUUUACAACUAUAUAAAGUUAAAAAAAUCCAGUUUUAAUCCACUGAAGACAUCCAAAUCCAUAACUCCAUUAAUGGUAUCUCCCUCCUUUGUUUUGUACGACAACAUUGAACUAAAAAAUCAAAAAGGAGGAAAUUAAAAACAGAAUUUGAUCACUCAGUGAAUUGAAUCACCUUAAAUUGCAUAUAAAUUGAAUUUGAAUUAAAUUGAAUGAAAGUAUACAGACGAAGGGAAAGUUGUCAUAACUUUACCAUGCAAGAUUUUACCAUGCCCGAUUUCAUUUGCAUGUCCCAAAAUCAAUUUACGAAAUUAAGGUUGGGGUUUUCAUAUUCUCUAUUGGGUAAUGAAAGUCACGUGAAAAGUUCAGAAAUAACCAAACCAAAAUCCAAUUUAGUACACCUAAGAAAAACAUUAGCAAGAAACUAUUUCCAACUCAUCAUUUAUUUAUCAAACACAGUAAUACAGUCAUAGAAACACUCUUAACUCACUCACCAAAAUUGAAUUAAUUAAAUUGGAUGUUGGGGUCAAGUCAAAACGACGGUCGGAGGGGCCAGACAUUUUCAAAGGUGUUGAAGAGAAAAGAGGUCGGACAAAUCAAGAUCUUAGAAAUGCAAGAAGGGAGCUUCUACUGGUGGAGAUUCAAGUGUGCUUUGGAACUUAAUACUAGCCUCUAUAAAAAUCCGCACUCGAUGGAGCUUCAGAAAUCGAAGAGGCGCCUGCUCAGAAAUCGAAAAGGCGUUUGCUUUCUCAAAAGCUGGGCUGCUCAGAGACCACGAUGGCCGAUCUCAGGAAUCGAAGAGGCGUUUGCUUUCUCAAAAGCUGGGCUGCUCAAAGACCACGAAGGUCGAUUGCAGAAAUCGAAGAGGCGCUUGCUUUCUCAAAAGCUGGGCUGCUCAGAGACCACGAGGGCCGAUCUCAGAAAUCGAAGAGGCACCUGCUUUUUCAACCUUAUCAGCACCUGUCACAUGCACACUCAACUUUGCGGAAAUUACGGGCAUUCUGUCGAAGAUUUCUAGUGAAGUAGAAAGCACGUGAAUGUUACUGUUCAAUCAUUCACUUUCCACACGCAACAUCAGCUCACGGGUACCACAGAUAACUUUGCCAAAAAUCUCUGACAAAGUUUAGACACGUGAAGCUUGCAGCUCCCAUUACAUCGCUAUGACCAAGAAGGGUAAAAGAAUAGCAAAGAAGCAGCACUAACAAAGUUUAGACACAUAAAUUUUGAAGGUCUAGCUAUCAUAUUACCCACAAAGGUAAAGGAACAGGACCAUUGCUGGAUAAUUGGAAAGUCCCUGUGGGUCAACCUCUGUGCUCCGUGGCAAGGUAGACUAGCAAACAGGCCUAACCUUUACUCACAUUCGAGAAAACACUCCCAACAAGAUUGCUUGCUUCAAGAUCGAAGAGGCACCGUCCUCCGAAUCUCGAGAGCCAGACUCCCAACAUGAUUACUUUCUCAAAAAGCGACGAGACACCGCUCUCCGAAUCUCGAGAGCCAGACUCCUAGCAGGAUUGCUUUCUCAAAAAUCGAAGAGGCACCGUUCUCCGAAUCUCGAGAGACAGAUCCCCGACAGGAUUGCUUGUUCGAAAACCGAAGAGGCACCGCUUUCUCAACUUCGAGAGCCCCUUAGAUAAAGCUUGUUUGUAAUCCUCACACCGCUUUCUCAACUUCGAGAGCCAGAUCUCUUUGGAUAAAGCUUGUCUGUAAUCUUCACACGUAACAUCAGCUUUCCAGAUACCACACACCACUUUUUCAAAGUGCUCUGACAAAGUUAAAACACGUGAAGCUGGCAGCUCCCACUACCGUGCUAUGACCAAGCAGGGUAAAAGAAUAAUAUUACUCAUUGUUAGGGAGACUCCUAUAUAUGUCGACAUCCAUCCUCAACGGACAAGCAGACCUGCAAAAAUGCUCAACCCUUCCUCAUAUCUGAGAGGGCAUUCCCAACGAAGCCUUUCGAAAUACUCAGCUUUCUUUCCCCCCGAGAAUACCUCUGCAAACAAGCUACACUAGAGCAAGAAUAUCUCAUAUCAUCAGGGUUAAAAGCAAGAGUAUCCCAUAUCAUGCUUUUUCUCUGUCUUUUCCUUUGGCCUUGUUCUUACCUGCAAGACAAGGAGAAAGAGAGCAAUCAGUCAGCACUUGGAAUCAAGCUUCCAGUCCGGAACUAACUGCCUGGAACCCCAUUGCUCUCGAGUACUCAUCUUCAACAUCUUAUGCUUCCCGAGAAGAUACCACAUCUGCCUGAGGAACAAAUAGGGCAAGUGAGAAGGAUACAAGGAAGCAUGUGGAGACAAGCGCAACAGAACACGUGCCGAUACAUCCACUACUUUGUCAACAGCAAAAGUAUCCCAUAUCAGCAGGGUCGAACGUACUCUAGAUUUGAUGGACUUGUUUUGACUCUCAAAUUCUUCAGUCGGCCUUAUACUCUGGCGGAAACAAGAAAACCUUCCAGCCCAGUUCAAGAAUAAGCCUGUGGAAAGUUACUUCUUCAAAAGUAAAAGUAUCUCAUAUCACCUUUUCUCCUUUUCUUCUCUUUAUCCUUCAUGCUACCUGCAAGAUAAGGAGAAGGAUAACAAUCAGCCGGAACUCGAAAUCAAACUUCUGAUCAGGGACUGAUUGCUUGAAGCUCUGAUUGCUUACCUUGUCUGUCACCUCUUUCAGCAGAUCCCCUAGCUCGGCGACUUGGGGGUCUCCUACUACAUGGUUUGUAUGGCGCUUGACCAAGCCUGAAACUACAAGUAAGCAUCAAGUGAAAUUGAUACAUUACCUUGUGCAUCUCCACCAGUUAAAGAUACCACCCCUGGAGGGAGGAAGAGUACUUCCAAAGAAGAUGCCACAUCUACCUAUGAGACAGAUAAGGCAAGUGAAGACGAUACCACACUUCGGUACUUAAAAGUUUCGUGAUUACGAGAUCAUUCUUCCACAAUAUUUCCUAAUGUCAUUUGUACUAAAUCAUUCACUUGUACUCACUAAAGGAGAGCUUGAACCUAUAUACUGUGUAAACCCUUCACAAUUAAUGAGAACUCCUUUACUCCGUGGACGUAGCCAAUCUGGGUGAACCACGUACAUCUUAUGUUUGCUUCCUGUCUCUAUCCAUUUACAUACUUAUCCACACUAAUGACCGAAGCAAUCUAGCGAAGAUCACAAACUUAAUAUUUAAGAUGAUAUUCUUUGGUGUAUGCUUUUCACAAACGAUAUAGUGUUGAUAGAUGAAACGCAGGAAGGGGUAAACGCGAAGCUUAACCUUUGGAGAGAAGUGUUGAAAUCUAAAGGUCCUCGCCUAAGCCGAUCAAAGACAGAAUAUAUGGAGUGCAAGUUCAGUGCAAACGGAGGCCAAAAUGAGUUAGGGGUGAGGAUCGGAGAUCAGGAAAUACCAAAGAGCGACCGUUUUCGCUACCUAGGAUCUAUCUUGCAAAAGAACAGAAAAUUUGAUGGAGAUCUCACCCAUAAAAUACAAGCUGGAUGGAUGAAGUGGAAGAGUGCAUUCGGCGUGUUGUGUGACCGUCGUAGGCCACUGAAGCUCAAGGGAAAAUUUUAUAGGACGGCAAUAAGGCCGGCAAUGCUGUAUGGCAUAGAAUGUUGGGCGGUGAAGCAUCAACACAUAGGUGUAGUGGAGAUGAGGAUGCUUCGUUGGAUGUGUGGGCACACGAGAAAUGAUAAGAUUAGGAAUGAGGAUAUCCGAGGUAAAGUAGGAGUAGCCGAAAUUGAAGGAAAGAAGAGAGAAAAUCGGUUACGGUGGUUUGGACAUGUGCAAAGAAUGCCUACUGACGCUCCGGUUCGAAGAUGUGACCACGGGACAGAGGUUCAGGGCCGAAGGGGUAGAGGAAGACCUAGGAAAACUUUGGAAGAGACCCUAAGAAAAGACUUAGAGUACUUGGAUCUAACGGAGGACAUGACACAAAAUCGAGCGCAAUGGCGUUCUAGGAUUCAUAUAGCCGACCUCACUUAGUGGGAAAAUGCUUUGUUGUUGUUGUUGUUGUGGAUGUUGGGGUCAAAAUUUUAUGUCCGCCUAAGGAUAUUUGAGACUAAAAAUUUAACUCUACUCAGUUUAGCUUCCAAGUCAUUUUUAUUUUCGGUCUUCAGAUUUAGACUAAAUAUUUAACAUUACUUAGUGUAGUUUCAAAUUUAACUUUCCCUUGAGCGCUUGUCUACUGGAUUUAUCUUCUAUAGCCUUUUGUUUGCAAUUUGAAUUACAUGACUCAAAAUACAGCCCAAAUAGAACACAAAUGGCCCUUAGAAAACAAAAUGCGAAAUAUUUACUAAUCACUAUUCAUGGUUUUGGUCAAAGAACUCAAAUUUCAGAGAUACAAAACAGAGCAGCUCGUAUAAAUCAUUUAUAAAGGUUACCUCUUUUUGGUUGAAAAAUUGAAGGGUGACGCCAAUUCUUCUUCAGCUUCCACCUCCUUGUGGAACUUGACCCGCCAGUCACAUUUGCACGUGAACCUGAAAUCAACAACCAGUCAGUACCUUUGGCAAGCUCAUGGGGGUAUGACAACAUGUAUAGGAAUAUUAUUGCAACUCUAUUAAACGAAGAAGUAUUCAGUUGAGGAUGUCGAUGAGGGAGGGAAGAAGAAGAAAAGAAAUGCUAGUUGAGGAACAAAAGAAUUUUGAUGCUGCGUUCGGUUUGUAUGUAUGGUCUAAGAAUUUACAAACUGCCUAUAUGAUUCACUCGCUUCUGUGUCUUCAUCAAAUCUAUUUCUUUUUUACUACCUCUUCUUUCAUGAAGGUAUAAUCGUCACAUUAUUUUCUAACAUAAAAUAUACACCUAACAGACGUUUAAUACAUUGCCCAUAAGUUAACUGAGGUGGGUUUUGCUUGAGUAGUUGGUGACCUUCACAGUCGGCCAAUUGCGGCUGACAUGUGAUUGAUCGUAUAAGGAUAUCUAUUUAAAAUAGUUAAGGGACUUCAAGGAUGCCUCUAGAUUUAUUCUGGUUAGAAGAUCGGGUUGAGUAACAAGUUUUGACUCCAACGGAUAUUUUGCAUAGAAGACUUCAGAAAAUGUGAUUCGCAAAAUGAUGUCAGAUUUCAAAAUUUAAGGCAUGUUUUAAGUGCACUAAGAUAUCUCGAAACGUAUCCUGAUGUGAUACUAUAAUUUCAUGGAAGGAAGAAGAAAGAAUAGUCUAAAAUUUUCCUGUCCAAUAACUCCAUCACCAUCAUCUCCAAUCAGAGCAAUGAUAUCCUCAAUAGACAGAAUUGUUUUAUUUUGGGUACUUAUCUAAACACACAAAAAUUAAACAUUUUCUCAUCCAAUUCACAUAUAAAAUGGUCCAAAAGUGCAUGCAGUGGUUGAGUAGAAACUAAUGUUACUUUGAAUUGAUGAAGUGUUUAUCCUCUAGAAGAUCUACAUAUCUAUUAUAAACCAAUCUUUAGUCUUGCAGAAAGUGAUAUGCUGACUCCAAAUUCCCAUAAUAUUAAAAUUGAUUUACAGUACAAUCUGCAAAUGUAGUUAAAUUUAAUGCUUCCCAUCAUUGCCAUUGUUGCAAAUCAAAUCGUAUGUGCAGAUUUAUGGUACAACACAUGAUCGAAUUAGAUAGUUGUAUGAAUACAUGUUUGUUCUUUCCCUUUCAACUUGUUUGGAUCCUCACUUUUCUCAAACAAAAGAUUAGACUCUUAUGACUUCUUAGCAUAGGGCUUAGAAGGUUUAACCACUCGCAAAACCACUAAUAACAUCUCUCAAACCAUUCAUUGUGCAUAUUCAUGCCAUUUUAAUAUUGAACCUUAUAGGAAUCUAAGCUCAUCAAAGCGUAACUCCGACAAAAUAUACAUAGCAAAUCGACACUUAAUUUCGCAUGAUACUUUUUUUGAGGAAAAACAACGAAGAAAGCCAUUGGGUUACCAUCGUCAAGCGCUCUCAUUUGCCUUGAAAUGGGGGUACCAUAGACACAUAUCCAAACCAGACGCAACGACUCGUAUUCUCUGAAUGCAUUGGUUUAUCAAACACAAACACACAGCCCUAAGAUCAUGUAGUAAGAUUUGGAUUUUUCUUACGCAUGCAUACAGUACAAAUGUAAUAUAGUUAUUUGAAAAAAAUACUCCAGCUCAUCACUUGUAGCCAUGACGCCUUGUUAAAAUUAUUAAAAAACUGGAAUAACAGUAAAGAAAUUGGCAAAAAAUCAAACCUACUAGUCAUUGGUGACCUUCAUAUGAUAAGCAACCACCCAUACCGCAGCCUCUGACGCCUAUCCCAAAAAUAUGGACCUAUAAUAUUCAUUCCCACCGGCACCAAAACCACCAUAGUCGUCUCAUCCCUCCAAGCCGCAGAGCUAUUCUUGAAAACCCAUUACAACAUUUUCCUAGCCGCCCCCUUUACUGCAACAAACCUCAUCAAAAUGCCUAAUAACUGUUCCGGAUGGCACACACCAAAUUUUAUCAUGAGAAAAAAGCAACCCCAGACCCAAAUUAAGCAUUUCAUAAAUCCUAUUUACUGGAAAGAUCUUUUUUUUUUUUGAAGGGAGGUCACCAAUGCUAUCAUAGGGCAUGAGCAGAGAGCGGUUCCAAAACUGCAAACAAAAGCCCCCAAAAGAAAAAUCAAAAUCACCCACAUACCCAAUCGGAGGCUACAAAUUAAAAACAAAAACAAAACAAAAAGAAAAUUUGAACAGAAAAACCAUUUGUAAAUCCAAAGAAUUUCCAUGUCCAGUGCAUUCUUUCUAAUAAUUGACACAAAAGAAAUAAAUAUACAGCCCUAAACCCUAAAUCAGUGGAAGCAAACAGAGAAGGUCAGGUCCUCGAGAGAAAAAAAAAUGAAAACCGAAAGGAAAUUCGCUAUUUACAUUUAUACCAAAAUUAUGAACUUGAAUUUAAUCUUAUUUGAACACAUCCUUGAGCAAUCUUACCUCAAAGCACAUCACCCAGUUAAGUUCUAUAGCAUGUGUGGCCUGAUCAGCCAACUGCGCGUGCCCCACCGUCGAGAUUACCACGUCGACUUGCUCGAUCGCCUUCACCAAGCUCUCAUAAUCGUACAGAUCACCCUGUAAAUUAUAAAUAAUAAAAAAAACCACUCAAAUCAAGCAAAACCCAAUUGGCUAAUCGGAUCAAAAAGCUACAAAAUGCUGGAAAUUUUACAAACCAGGACAAAAUUGAAGCCCAGAUCCUUGAGGUUCUCGAGGAAUUUGGACUUUGCCGGGUUAUAGAGGGUAGUUCUCGGACCAGAAAGUAGGUGGGGUGGCCGGCCUUGGCGCUGGCCUAUGCGAUGAACUUUUCAGUGCCGCCAAUGAAGAGGAAUUUGGACUUGGAUGCCAUCGGGAAUGGGAUUGGGGGGAAUCAGAAUGGGAUGAGUUGGAGAGAGAUAGCGAGUGAUUCGAUUCGAAGUGGAGGAUGAAGGAAGAGGUGGAGGGUCAGUGAGGAGGAGCUUGAGCUCCAUUUGCAGUCGGAGGCUGAGAGAGCAAUGAAAAACGUAGUAGCAAUCCCAGAGGAGAUCGAAAUGAAAGCACACCUGGAGAGUUCGAGAGACAUCCACCGUCAACACGUGGAUAACAGCGGCAUACAUGAAAUAACAGAAGAUGAAAAAGGGCAAAAACGGAAGAACAUUGUAAAAGUAACAGUGUUUUGAGUCCAUAAGGACAUCAUGGGAAUUUACCUGAAAGUUUCUCUUUUAGUACGAGAGCUACAAGACUUACCAUAUUAUCUUAUUUUUCUCACCCACGUUAUAUUUUCAUCUAUCUUAAAAAGUUAAAAAAUUAAUGUUAUUUUCUCGCUCACUAUUAUUCCCAAAAUAACCUUUAAUAUAUAUGUACAUAUGAAAUUAUAAAAUUGUCUCUUAAAAAAUAUAAGAAAUAAUAUGUAAAUGAAAAUUACUAAAGUCUGCAAAUUCAAAUAGAAACGACAGAGGUAUCCAAAUUCAAAAUAUUUCGACAACGACAAAUUUAAAAAUACGAUAGGCAAAUUCAAAUGACCUACACACAAAAUUAUUCUUCUACCUUUUCAAUGGAAACAUAAUCUUCGACCUCUUCUGUUUAAGCUUCAUUUUCUACAUAUUCAAUGAAAAAGUCAUCUUCUAAGUCUAUUGCUAUUUUUUUUUUUUUUACUUUCUCUGAAUGAAAUGAGAUGAAAAUAUGAGUUAAGGUUUAAGGUAGACAAAUUGUCUCCCAUACCCAACUUGUUUUUUUUUUUUUUUUUAAAUUAAGCAAAACAAGAUAAUUAAUGUCCUUAUUAAUCUUUUUGUAAAUGGACAAAUUUGUAAUUAAAAAAUUCAUUAAAAGGUGAGUGGAAAAAUAAGAUAUUGAGGUAAGAAUAACAUCACUCUUUAGUGUAUAUAUAUAAUAUAAUAUAAUUUUACUGUCAGAAUCAUUGAAAAGUGAAGGAACAAAAGUUCAACAUUUUCGAUCCUAAUACGUUUGACUGAGUAGUCCGGAAAGUUACAUUUAAAUCUUGCAUACAUGGAUAUAAUGAAUGUUUCAAUGGUAAUAUCUUAUAUAAUAAUCGUAUCACUAAGUGGGACGUAACAUUAUAUCUGGACCCAUAUUCAUGCCCUUUUCUAUAGCUUUUAUUUGACAAAUAAAAAAUAAAAAAAAAUAAAAAAUAAAAAAACCUUCUACGAAGACAUGGUCGUAAUGGCAGCUACGUACUGAUCAAUAUUAAAUAGCAAGAAAAACAAGAUUUUCGUUGUCAAGGUUCAUUUACCCUUGACCCUUUUAUAGUUGACUUGGAAUUCAUACAGUAUAGUUUAAAUUCUAGCUUCUCUUUUUUUUGUGCAGCAAUGGAUACCAAACCAAUCUUAUUGUUCGAGUUCUCCGUUAUUUUAUUAUGUGCAUUUUGGAAGUCUCACAUCUCCCUUGCAGCUGAACACUAUCAGCGAAAACCAAUCUCUCUCGGGCGAUCAAACCAUUGUCUUUGCAGGUGGGAUGUUUGAGCUAGGUUUCUUCACUAGUACAAAAAAUACUUUGCGCGACGUAGGACCGUCGUCGCGCAAAGUCAAAAAUACGUCGCCCAAAAAUUAGCCAAACGAACCUUCGUCGCGCAAAGUAUUUAGGGUUUAGGGUUUAGGGUUUGCGCGACGUAGGUAGGCACUGCGUCGCGCAAAGUAUCUUUGCGCGACGCAGGAUCUACGUCGCGCAAAGCUACUUUGCGCGACGUAAUGCCUACCUACGUCGCGCAAAGUUUUAUUUAUUUAAUUUUUUUUUUGUCAUUUAUAUUUAUUUUUUUAAUUUUUAAUAAAUAUCAUAAUUACAUUCUAAAAAAUAAUUAAUAAACCAAGAAAAAGUAAAUAAUUAUAGAAUAUAUGAAAAUGUAUGUUUGUCCGAACAAAAAAAUAAAAAACUACAAGUCUUCUAAGUUUAAUACAUCAUGCUACUCGGUAUCGUCGGGGCAAAAUGGCUGGGAAGUCGAAGGUGGAGCAACAUUAGGUGCUGGCAUCGUCGGGAUUUGGAGGCCGGACAUCGCUAAGGCCUGAACAAUCAUAUUCAUCCUCUCGUCCUGGGCCCUAAUAUGGUCGCCCUGGGCCGCAACCUGACCUCUUAGGGUUGUCACUUCCUCCUUCAAGGAAUUGACCUCUCCUGUGGACAAUCUGGAAGAAGAGGCACCCGUUUCACGAAGAGGAAGGAUCAAAUUAGUUAAACCGUGGCAGUAUGUGUAUUUUGUGAGCAAAAAUGUACACAAAGAGGAAGAUUCACUGCGGUCCUUUUUUGGAUUUGCUGCUCAUUACAUAUUUUGUCCGCCUAAAAGGGCUUUAACUUUGAACAAAUUUUGGAGAACUCAAGUCCAAACCAUUUACCUCAGCAGUAUGGUCCUUCACAAUGUGCCUACAGUUAUAGUUCCCAUCAUCAGAGCCUUGCCAUAUGCGAACUGUCUGCAACAUUAAAGGGGAAAAAUGAUGAUACAACAUCAAAAGAUGGAGUACACUAGGUUGAAUAUCUGAUUGGUUACACCCUUACAACCUAUGCAAUAACAUCUAAAUUGCAUGCAUGUAAAGUUCUUUAUUGACUCCAAUUUAUCCUCUUUUUUUCCUGAUCUCCUUUUUGUGUUUGGGUCAGGGAGGUUGAUCACCACCCCCAGUUGCAUAAAAAGUAACUUUAGAAUAUAAAUUUAAAUCCGUGUAGAUCCACAUAGAUGUACAUAAAAAGUCCCAAGGUUAAACUUGUAACUGUGAGGUAGGCAGAGUUUAGCGGUGGCCAAGUUAAUAAUGAAUGACAAACAAAGCUAAUGACAACUCCAGUAAAUAGAGAAGAUAAAAUAGUAAUGAAGAUUACAGCAUUUGUAUCAACCCCUCCAGUUGCAAUGAGAUUCUGCGAGAAUAAAGCCAAAAAGUAAUACUUGAUCAGCAAAAUGGAAACAUAACUGAGUUCAAUGACAUAAAAUACACAGGACAGACACACAAGGAUUUAUGACUUUGUCCUUAAUCCAUAAUCCCGUAUAUACCAUGAAGACAAAAGAUCAGUGUAAAGUGUGGAUUAAGGUAGGAAAAGCAUGCAAAAGAUCUAAAUUCUCAUCAAAUACCAUUACGCAAAAGAACACUAAAACAAGAGAGCUUCAAGGCUCAAUAAAUUCUAGAUUUGUUCCUACUAAAUUCGUUUUCUUCAUUUCAAGACAUUUGGUUUAGGAUCAUCCCUAAACCUAAAACUGUAGAUAUAUGAACAUUAAAGAUCAAAAUGCACUUCUAAUAGUACAAAGGCAGUAUUGAAGAGCAAAAUCAUGCAACAUCCAGUACGAACCUAAGAGUCUUUCACUGGAGUCAAAUACCCAUAUGGAAGUGAUGCUUAAACAAAAUGAUAUAAUAGCAGAGGUAAACACAAUCUCAUACCUUGUUAGACUGAAUAUCAAUCGAUAAAAUUCCUGGUUUGCUUGUUCUAUGAAGAGAAUGACUAGAUAUCUGAGUAUACCUCUCCAACGCAUCAACUGGAGCUAAUGUUGGGGAUAUCUGAACACCAAAGCAACAUACAGAUAAAAGCAAUAACUAUCAGAACUUAUCAAAUAAAUUCUGUGAAAACAGCUGAACUUCACUAGCAGCUUUUCUCAAGAAAAGAUUAUGUGAUAAACCCAAUUCCCUGCACAAAACCAAAUAAAACCCAAUUCACUAAAACCAAUUCCUAAUGAGCAGCAAACCCAAUUCCCUGCACAAACGCAUUAACAUUAACCAUAUUUAAUGAAAGAUAAUGUGAUACUACAGAUGAUACACAUUGGCUAGUAGGAAUAGGUUUGAAAAAUCGAAAACCCAAAAAAAUCGAACCGAAGCCAAAGAAAAACGGAAUACCAAACCCACCCUUUGGUUAUGGAAAUCUCAACUCGGUUCAAAAGUCAUAGGAUGUAGUUAACUAUGAUUUACGGCUACUAAGUCAGGUUCAUUAGUUUUGACCUUAAAUAUUUCUUAGAUUCAUACAACUUAUAACUCAAAUGAACGCAUGAAAUUUCAACCAAUCAUCUAUAAACAUACAUAACACCAGCCAUCAAUCAUCAAUCUACAAAUGCAAUUCAAAUUUUAGGAAAACCCUAAAUGGUGGCAACAGAACAAUCAUCAAUCUACAAAUUCUAAUUUAAAAACCCUAAAAUCCCUACACCAGAAAUUCACAUUAAUAACAAAACCUUAAAUCAAAAUUACCUAAAUUUUAGAUGGAUGACAGCGGGGGUGUUGUCGAAGAGGAGAGAAUCGACGGCGGGGGUGAUGGGGUGAUGGCUGGUGAGCACUACGAGGAGGAGGACGAUUCAGAGUUGGAGAGUCGAGGGAAGGGAGUCGAGGGACUGAGAGUCUGAGAGUGAUUCUGGUACUCGGGUGGAAUUGGUUGAGGAGGAUAGUCGGCUGGAGUGAGAGAGAUGAGAGACCGAAAGGCUUUUGGUUUGGGAAGAGAGAUCGAGUGAGAGAGAUGAGAGAGUGGAAGGCUUUUGGUUUGGAAAAUUUGGGAUUUUUUUUUUAAAAAAAAGCGCCUAUUUUUCAUAAUUGCCCCGCCAAAAUAAUGACAAAUAGCUCGACGCAGGUAUACAUUUCGACGUCGCGCAAGAUUUUUUUUUUUUUUUUUCAAAUAUAAAUUUUACCGAAAAUUUACUUAAUAAAUAUAUAUACCUUUGAACUUGAUGGAAUACGCAUUGUACGAAACUAAUUUCAACAAUCCAACCGUCAAAAUUGUUUGUAUAUAUUCCGAUAUCGCAUACGCCAAAAAUUGGAAAAAAAAAACAUCCAAAUAUCAAGUAACAUGACAAAACCUUUUGACGGUUAUAAACGAAAAAUCACGAUUUAACGGUUAUUUUUAACUCCAAUUUGUUGAGUUUUUCCAACUAUACUCCUUUAGCCUAUAUGAAUACAACGAACCAAUUCGAUCGUCAAUUUAAAAUAUUUACACAAGCGGAUACCACAAAAUGUUAUGUUAAACUUAAUGAUAGUAUAAAUAAACUCCAAGUGUUAGGAAAUAUAUCGUUUUGAUGAAAUACGCAUUCUACGAAACUAAUUUCAACGAUCCAACCAUCAAAUUUGUUUGUAUAUAUUCCAAGAUCGUAUACGCCAAAACCUGGAAAAAAACAAACAUCCAGAUAUCAAGUAACGAGACAAAACCUUUCGACGGUUAUAAACGAAAAACACGAUUUAACGGUUAUUUUAACUCCGAUUUUGAUGAUUUUUUAGAGCUACACUCCUUGAGCCUAUAUGAAUACAACGAACCGAUUCGAUCCUCAAUUUAAAAUAUUUACACAAGCGGAUACCACAAAAUGUUAUGUGUAAACUUAAUGAUAGUAUAAAUAAACUCUAAGUGUUAGGGAAUCUAUCGUUUUAAUGAGAUACGCAUUGUACGAAACUAAUUUCAAUGAUCCAACCGUCAAACUUGUUUGUAUAUAUUCCGAUAUCGCAUACGCCAAAAAUUGAGAAAAACAAACAUUCAGAUAUUAAGUAACGGGACAAACCUUUUCGACGGUUAUAAACAAAAAAGCACGAUUUAACGGUAGUUUUAACUCCGAUUUUGAUGAUUUUUUAGAGCUACAUUCCUUGAGCCUAUAUGAAUACAACGAACCGAUUCGAUCCUCAAUUUAAAAUAUUUACACAAGCGGAUACCACAAAAUGUUAUGUUAAACUUAAUGAUAGUAUAAAUAAACUCCAAGUGUUAGGGAAUCUAUCGUUUUGAUGAAAUACGCAUUGUACGAAACUAAUUUCAACGAUCCAACCAUCAAACUUGUUUGUAUAUAUUCCGAGAUCGCAUACGCCAAAAAUUGAGAAAAAAAAACAUUCAGAUAUCAAGUAACGGGACAAACCUUUUCGACGGUUAUAAACAAAAAAGCAUGAUUUAACGGUAGUUUUAACUCCGAUUUUGAUGACUUUUUAGAGCUACACUCCUUGAGCCUAUAUGAAUACAACGAACCGAUUCGAUCCUCAAUUUAAAAUAUUUACACAAACGGAUACCACAAAAUGUUAUGUUAAACUUAAUGAUAGUAUAAAUAAACUCUAAGUGUUAGGGAAUCUAUCGUUUUAAUGGGAUACGCAUUGUACGAAACUAGUUUUAACGAUCCAACCGUCAAACUUAUUUGUACAUGCUUCGAGAUUGCGUCCGCCAAAAAUUGCAAAAAACAAACAUUCAGAGAUCAAGUAACGGGACAAAACUUUUCAACGGUUAUAAAUGAAAAAGCACAAUUUAACGGUAGUUUUAACUCUGAUUUUGAUGAUUUUUUAUAGCUACACUCCUUAAUCCUAUAUGAAUACAAUAAACUAAUUUGAUCAUCAAUUUAAAACAUUUACACAAGUGGAUACCACAAAAGAAAAAGGCAAUACAAGAACCCAAAAAAAAAAAAAAAAACUUUGCGCGACGUAGGUCCACCUGCGUCGCGCAAAGCUAUUAUGCGCGACGCAUGUGUACCUACGUCGCGCAAAGUUUUUUUUUUUUUUUUUUUUUUUUUUUUGCUUUUGCUUAUGAGUACAAAAUAAAUAAAUUAAAAUGUACUUACUAAAUAUAUAUACCAUUGAAUUUGAUGGGAAACGCAUUGUACGAAAUUAGUUUCAACGAGCCAAUGGUUCGGAUUUCGGGUUAAGAAAUCUGAAUGGAAUUUAGAUGGAGGAGAUCUCUGCAAUGUUACUGGUAUCAGAAUGUGUGUGUGUAUAUUGCAUUAUAAUAUAACGUUGAUGCAAGAAAUGGAAAAUUGAUACUUGAAGGGAGUUCUAAUGUAAGUCGUAUAUUAGAUUCUCAAAUCAAAGCAAAGCUGCUAAUCCAGGACUCCAUCCAACCUUUUGGGCAGAUUUGAAAGCAAGAGUUCCACCAAAAGUAAAAGUUUUGGCUUGGACUGGCUCACUGGAGGAUACAUGUGAUAUGAUCCAGGAAAUUGCCUUUUGUGUGUGUUUCACCUCACUGAUGCAUUUUGUGCAACAAAGAGGGCGAAAGGAGUGUGGAUCAUAUGUUUACAACUAUGUGGUGGAGAUUGUAUGGGGUUGACAAUGUAAAUUAGGUCGGAGUUCUGUUUCUUUGCUCCCUGAGAAACAAAGGUAAGGGUAAGAAAGAAAUGGUCUCCUGCAGUGCAUGGUGUUAGUAGUAAUUCAGAUGGAAGGCGGAUAUUUGAGCAAAGUGAAGGUGUGGAGUUGAGGAACUUUGGGAGAAAAUCAAAUUUUGGUUGUUACUUCGGGGCUUUGGUUGCUGGAGAGUUCAAAAAGUUGUCCCUUUUCUAGCAAUUAUUUGGACUGGGGAGAUCUUGUUGAUGAUUAGAAUUACGAAAUUCCUUUGUUGUUAUUCAUAGAUCCAAAAUAAAAACUAGUUGUGUUAACUAAUGUGGGAAUUGGGGAGAGCAAGACAUACAAAAUAAUAACAUUGUUUCUAACGAUUACAGAUUUAGGCAUUAUGGCUAUUCCUAGUAAUUCAAACUUCAAACCUGAUCUGGUAGACGAUUUUGAAGAGAGAGAUGGGCGAUGGAGGUAGUUGCUGCAACUGGGUAUGCAGUUUCUGCCUCCCAAACUGAUCAAAUGAAAAGAAAAAAAAGUUUGUGACUUUGCGCGACGCAUGUCCACCUACGUCGCGCAAAACAACUUUGCGCGACGUAGGUGGGCAUGCGUCGCGCAAAGGUGGGAAAAAGCGGUAAAUUCUAAGGGUUUGGCGCCAAAAGUUUGCGCGACGACGGACUACGUCGCGCAAAGCCGUUUUGCACGACGUAGGUGUACGUACGUCGCGCAAAGCCGUUUUGGGCGACGUAGUUCUUCGUCGCGCAAAGUAACGUCGCGCAAAGCUGUUUUGCACGACGUAGGGGUACGUACGUCGCGCAAAACGUCUUUGCGCGACGUAAUUUAAUGCGUCGCGCAAGUUUUCGUCGCGCAAACAUGUUUUUGUACUAGUGCUUCAAACCAGGUCAGCUUUCAAACUACUAUAUAGGUAUAUGGUACUCCAAGCAAGUAGCAUCUGAGAGCAAGUGGUAUCUGAGAGGACUGUUGUUUGGGUAGCAAAUAGGGAAAUACCAGUGAUAGGGAUUUUACCACGCACGUAACAGUUUUAAAAACUCAUAUAAUACUUGCAAAAAUGACAAAGAUAUUGUAGUAUAAAUAGUUUCCACAUGGAUUAUUAAAUAAUUCGAAACAAACCAAAUUUCAAUUCAUUAUUGUAAAACAAAAAUUGUGAUGAUUGAUUUUCAUGACCUAAUGUAAUAAAACGAAUUUAAUUAAUAAAAGUAAAUCAAUCUGCAAUAUUAAAAAUUGAAUUUUAACGAAAAGCUUAUUGUACAGUUCACUUUAACGAAAAAUCACAUUUUUACACUAAAAAGUCAAUCCUAAUACUAUUCACUUCACCAUUUAUUUUGUUAUUAUCGUUAAAACUCAAAGUUUUCAAGCUCUUUUUAUUAGUUUUCCUUAUUAAAAAUGAGAAAAAAUGAAAUAGUUUUGUAGAAAUCAAAUUAAGAAAGCAUUAAGGAUCCGCCAUCACAUCUAAACAUGCAUGACUCAUUAAGUUUUGUGAAACUUUUUAAAAAAAUCAUACAACCCUUAACACGUAGUAUUCAUCCUAAAUGCACCUGCACAUAUUAAUCACAAGAAAUUUUCGUCAAAAACUCAAGAUAAAAAAACAAUACAAACCGUGGGCCUCAAAAACUCAAAAUAAAAAACAAUCAUUUACUUUUUGUUUUCUUUCUUUUUCUAUUUCUUUUCUCUUUUUUUUUCCUGUUUUUUUCAUUCUUCCUCAUGGGGCUUUCAAAACACGCGCAAGUGCAAAUGGGAAGGGUUCAAAUUGAUUUCAGUAAGAUUGGUUUGUAGCAAUGAUUUUAAGAGAGGUGUUCCCGUCGAUUUAGCAGUAGAAGCAGCUAAUCGACAACUGGGUUGGUGUCGGUAUUGCAGCAACAAUGAUUCGAUGUCGGUUCGUGAGCUACAAGGCACGCGAGCUUCGAUUUGGGUGCGAUGCAGCAGUGGAUCAUGAUAGAUACGGAUCGGUGCGGUGGACUCGGGUCAGCAACGACGGCGUCGCUCGCUGGUCGGACGGCGUAGCACAACUGGUGCGCGACUAGGAGUUUUGUUCUGCGCAUAGGGAACGGCUUUUGGUUUUUUUCUUAACCUAGGCUCUGGUGCCAAGAAGAGAAUGCUUUGAAUGAUGUGUUUAUCUUCUCAGGAAAAGGUAGAAUAUACAAUCUUAAUUCUAACUAAAUAGGGAAGAAUAAUUACAGAAGAUUACAAAGAUAUUUCUCUCAUAUUACUCAUAUUACACGGGGAUCCAUCUUAAAGAGGAAAUUCUAAAUUAUAGGAAUUAUAAGUCAACAAACAAACCAACGUAAGAGUGUGGAUCAACCGACGAAUGCACCAUUCUAACAACGUUAAUAUCAUCAAUUUGAGUCUAAUUACCAUCAAUGUAAGAGUCAGUUUGAUUACAAUUAGCAUCAGUAAGGACAUCAGUUUAAUCUCGAACAAAGCUCCACUGCCAGUUUCGGCAUUAUUGAUCUCCACAACCUUGAAACCCAU